UCAUUUCUAGCCUUGAUUUGAUGAUUCAUUCUCAUCUUCUUUGGGUUUAGAAAUGGUUGAAUUAGAAAAUGAUUCUGUUGAAAUGGAUUCAACACCCAAAUAUCUAGAUUGUUCUGUUCAAAUGUUUGGAUCUUCUGGUAAUGGUUACUUAGGGUUUUAUUAUCAUUGUUGUGAUAUGAGGUUAAUUAGUUUUUGGAACCCUUCCACUAAAGAAUACAAAAAACUUACAAAUCAUCUCAAAUACGCUCUUGGGUAUUGGAAUCCUGGUAGUACAUGGAGGUUAUCAUACAUGGAGAAGUCUUGAUGGUGUCCGGCAGUACGAUUUUGGAGUAAUCCUAGUUGCAAUAUCUUGUUUUGAGUUAAAUUUGGAAUCAAUGUUUAGAAUAUACACAGAGAUUAUCUUUAGAAGAAAGAUAGUUUGGAUUGUGCUGUCUAAGGAUAUCCAAAAACGUAUGUUGUCAAAGGAGACUGCAGAGGCGCCCAAGGUGCAUGAAUCUUAAUGUGACCACCUCGCUAAUAAUGCGCCCAAGGCGUCUAAUGCGCAGUAGAUGAGUGUAUUCAGCGCUUGUUUGCACCAUCAAUCAUGGUAUUGGUAUCAUUUCAGUGCUUGUUUGCAGCAUCAAUCAUGGUAUUGGUAUCAUUUCAGUGCUUGUUUGCAGCAUCAAUCAUGGUAUUGGUAUCAUUUCAGUGCUUGUUUGCAGCAUCGAUCAUGGCAUUGGUAUCAUUUCAGUGCUUGUUUGCAGCAGCGAUCAUGGCAUUGACAUCAUCAGGGCAUUCAUUCGACAAACUGUAGCCUUCUUUUCUCACCUUAAUAAUGCACUCAAAGCGCCUAAUGCAUAGUAGAUGAGUAAAUUCAGUACUUAUUUGUAGCAUCGAUCAUGUCAUUAAUAUCAUCAGGGCAUUCAUUCCACAAACUCUAUCCUUCUUUUCUCGCCUCAAUAAUGCGCUCAAGGUGCCUAACUCAUAGUAGAUGAGUAAGUUCAGUGCUUCUUUGCAGCAUCAAUCAUGGCAUUGAUAUCAUCAGGGCAUUCAUUCGACAAACUGUAGCCUUCUUUUCUCACCUCAAUAAUGCGCUUAAGGCGCCUAAUGCAUAGUAGAUGAGUAAAUUCAGUACUUAUUUGCAGCAUCCAUAUCAUUGAUAUCAUCGAGACAUUCAUUCGACAAACUGUAGCCUUCUUUUCUCACCUAAAGAAACAAGAUUUAUCAUCUACCGUCGUCACACACUCUUUAUAUUCUGUCCUGGUGGUACAUGAGGCGCCUGGCUUGGUUCCUCACCCGCCUCGUUCCUCACCCGCCUCGUUCCUCAUUCAACAUAGCCCAAAACCAGAUUGGAAAGAGACUGUGAUUUGUUUGUUUUAGAGAAUUGGCAUUCUACUGCCGCAUUCUGAUCUAGGUAGUGAAAACAACUUCUUUUUUAAGGUAAACGAAUAAGAAAGAAGUUAUUUUCAUUAAGAGAUGAGAAUGCGUGUGUGGGAUAAUGGAAGUUGGUAAGACAAUUGGAUGUGACUGUUUUAAUUUGGAAGAAGCUUGGAUGCUGGUUCAGCAAAAGGUCCAACUAGAAGUUCUAAGUUGACAUCCAGAUGUAUCCGAGGUUGCCUUAUAAAUUAUAUAAAAGAACGUCACUUCGAGCUCUCAUCAAUAUUGGUGGAACUGCUGGUACCACAAAGUCUCUGAAAGUGGCGACACGGAGUUUGUUACAGGUCAACUAUUGGAAUAUUUUUAUGCUCGAAAUGCCACGUUCAGGUCUUAUCAGUCACCUUAGAUGAUUGGUCUGAUGAAGAAAUUGAGUCCAUGAUUAAGGUUGGUGGAAAAUUUUCUGCUAAUUCAAUCUACGAGGCUUCUAUACCUGAUGGAAUCUCAAAGCAGAUUCAAGUCAUGAACGAUGUUCCAAGUUUAUCAGAUAAUAACCGUUCACUACCAGAUAAAGGCAGCUACGUAGAGAAAAUAUACCAACAGCUAGAUUCACAACCUGAUAACAGUGGUAGUGGCGGUGGUGGUGGAGCUAUGUCUCAAAAAUUGACUGUAAUUAGGCAGACUUAUUGUUUGAAAAGUUGAAGCUUCGCUGGGAUUUUGUUUGGUUUUUUUUAGAAGAGUUAAAUUUGAUGAAAGGUUGUAGCUCUUUUGAUUUGAUCUGUUAUUCGUUGAUGGGAGUCUGAUUACGUGAUAUUGGGGAUGGAUUUUAUUAAGUUGUGAGGCAGAGUCAAUGUAUAUGUGUAGGUUUACCCCUUACUCAGUUAAGGGCAUAUUGGUCUUUUUUUGUAUCCAUUUAAAAUUGCAGUUGGCACUCAACUCUUGUAAAGAAUUUAAGGAUUUUCUUGCCACAUAUAUUUAGAAGGCUGUUAUCGGGGCUCACACUCC